GACGAAGGUGGCAAGCGUUAUUCGGAUUUACUGGGCAUAAAGCGCGCGUAGGCGGCUUGGCAAGUCGGGGGUGAAAGCCCGCAGCUCAACUGCGGAACUGCCUUCGAUACUGCCGGGCUUGAGGGCGGGAGGGGUGAUUGGAACUCCAGGUGUAGCGGUGAAAUGCGUAGAUAUCUGGAGGAACACCGGUGGCGAAGGCGGCAUCCUGGACCAACACUGACACUGAGGAGCGAAAGCCAGGGGAGCAAACGGG
rnacentral:rRNA from 1 species